rnacentral:rRNA from 1 species
GAUGAACGCUAGCGGCAGGCUUAAUACAUGCAAGUCGUGGGGCAGCAUGAGUAGCAAUACUUGAUGGCGACCGGCAAACGGGUGAGGAACACGUACACAACCUUCCUUCAAGCGGGGAAUAGCCCAGAGAAAUUUGGAUUAAUACCCCAUAAUAUAUUUGAUAAGGCAUCUAUUAAUAUUAAAGCUUCGGCACUUGAUGAUGGGUGUGCGGCUGAUUAGAUAGUUGGCGGGUAACGGCCCACCAAGUCUACGAUCAGUAGCUGAUGUGAGAGCAUGAUCAGCCACACGGGCACUGAGACACGGGCCCGACUCCUACGGGAGGCAGCAGUUAAGGAAUAUUGGACAAAUGGACGAAAGUCUAAUCAGCAUGCGCGUGAAGAUUAAGGUCCUCUGGAUUGUAAACUUCUUUA